AUGUGGAAGUGGAACAGCAUAACAUCAACUAGCAGCUACCGUAAAGAGAAACUUCUCGAGUUCUUCAGAAGUUAUGAUACGACGCAAGACAUUCUUACUUUCCUCAGAUUAGUAGUAGCCAUCUGGAUAUGCUCGCACGCGGAGGAGUAUGAACAGCGUGUACCAGACCUCAGUGAACAUUACAGUCUGAAAGAUUGGUGCUUUGAGCACGUCACUCCAUCUCGUGAGUACACGGACCAUGUUAUGAUGACGGCCUUGGCCGAAGCGCUUGAGGUACCCCUUAGAGUGGAGCAACUCAAUGGAGGACCUGCUCACGAUAUCUACACUGCUCCUGGACCUGGAGUUCCCCUUGUGAGUGUGACCCUUCUGUACACGGGCAUUCACUACGACGUCCUCUACCCACGCGCUGCUCCUGCCGAGAGUUCAAGUUAA
rnacentral:rRNA from 1 species